rnacentral:rRNA from 1 species
UGGAGGCAGCAGUGGGGAAUCUUGCGCAAUGGGGGAAACCCUGACGCAGCGACGCCGCGUGUGUGAUGAAGUCUCUAGGGAUGUAAAGCACUGUCCUGCGAGGAAGAAGAAUGUGACGGUACUCGCAGAGAAAGCCCCGGCUAACUACGUGCCAGCAGCCGCGGUAAUACGUAGGGGGCGAGCGUUGUCCGAAUUUACUGGGCGUAAAGCGCGUGUAGGCGGCUCUUUAAGUCAGGUGUGAAAUCCUGCAGCUCAACUGCAGAACUGCACUUGAUACUGGAGGGCUUGAGUGUGGGAGAGGAAAGUGGAAUUCCUGGUGUAGCGGUGAAAUGCGUAGAUAUCAGGAGGAACACCCGUGGCGAAGGCGGCUUUCUGGCCCACCACUGACGCUGAGACGCGAAAGCUAGGGGAGCGAACGGGAUUAGAUACCCCUGUA